rnacentral:rRNA from 1 species
CUACGUGCCAGCAGCCGCGGUAAUACGUAGGUGGCAAGCGUUGUCCGGAUUUAUUGGGCGUAAAGCGAGCGCAGGCGGUUAGAUAAGUCUGAAGUUAAAGGCUGUGGCUUAACCAUAGUACGCUUUGGAAACUGUUUAACUUGAGUGCAAGAGGGGAGAGUGGAAUUCCAUGUGUAGCGGUGAAAUGCGUAGAUAUAUGGAGGAACACCGGUGGCGAAAGCGGCUCUCUGGCUUGUAACUGACGCUGAGGCUCGAAAGCGUGGGGAGCAAACAGGGUUAGAUACCCUGGUAGUCCACGCCGUAAACGAUGAGUGCUAGGUGUUAGACCCUUUCCGGGGUUUAGUGCCGCAGCUAACGCAUUAAGCACUCCGCCUGGGGAGUACGACCGCAAGGUUGAAACUCAAAGGAAUUGACGGGGGCCCGCACAAGCGGUGGAGCAUGUGGUUUAAUUCGAAGCAACGCGAAGAACCUUACCAGGUCUUGACAUCCCUCUGACCKCUCUAGAGAUAGAGUUUUC